GUGUUGUAUGAAAGGAGAGAAGGUUAGAAUUCCCCUUGACAAGAAUGGAAGAGGCCCUCAGGCCUGCACACACACAUAUGGUUAAGGUUUUACUUUGUGGCAUUUAACCAUGGUUUUUU
rnacentral:ncRNA from 1 species